AUCACAUUUGCAUGAUCAUGAUUUUUUGAUGUUGGUUAUGUCCACAUGACAUGCAGGUAAACAAAUGAAAUGUUAAACUUUUUUAGUAAGAUUUUAUUUUGAUUGGUUUUAAAAUUAUUUAUUUUAAUGUAUCCUUUUUUUAUGAUUUAAUUAAUUAGCUUUUUAUUAAAGUCACAAACCCUAGUUUGGGAAACCUUGAUUUAAUGUUUAAUGCACUUCAUGUUAAUAACAACAAAUGGAAUAUAUAUAUUUAUUAGUCAUGGGCCGGUAUGAGAUUUUGAUGGUAUGAUAACCUUAAGCAAACAUAUCACGGUUUCACAGUAUUGUUUUUACAGCUCUGAAAUGAUUGAGAAUCAUGAGUCAGUUCGGGAGUUCGGAGCGAGUUCGCGGAUCAUUUGAGUCAGUUCGGGAGUUCAAAGCGGGUUCGCGAAUCAUUUGAGUCAGUUUGGGGAUCGCGAAUCAUUUGAAUCAGUUCAGGAGUUCGUAGCGGGAUCGCGAAUCAUUUGAAUCAGUUCGGUAGUUCGUAGCGGGAUCGCGAAUCAUUUGAGUCAGUUCGGGAGUUCGAAGCGGCUUCGCGAAUCAUUUGAAUUAGUUCGGGAGUUCGGAGCGGUUUCGUGAAUCAUUUGAGUCGGUUCGGGAGUUCAAAGCGGGUUCGCGAAUCAUUUGAGUCAGUUUGGAGAUCGCGAAUCAUACACAGCAAAAAAUUGAGUUUAUUUCAACACCCAAAGAGUAAUUUUAACACAUUCAGAGUAAAAUGGUGUUUGGUGUUGGAGUUAUUUCACAGAGUUGAUCAUCAGUGUUAAACAAACUCCACAGAGACGUAAUUAGACUCCGCCCACGCAUUUCCAAUCGUCGCUGGUGAAAUCCAUGAAGACGUUGCCAUUAUCCUCGUGUGGCUUUGAAAGGUAAGAUAAAUUUAAUCAUACUUUUACAUUUAUGAUUGGUGCUUAUUCAGUAGAGAAUGUACAGCAUAACGUGCUAUGGAGCACUGUGCAUAAACGUAUAUUAGGCUGUGUGUGUGCAUUCGCUUCCACAUUUCAAGUUAACGUACAUCGUGGCAGCGGUUUACGCUCGAGCUUUUCGAUUUAACAGCUUGGUCUCUAAUAAAUAUGCUUUACCGAAUUAAUAAAACGAGCGAUCUUUUACAAAGCCUCGUUUAUUGCCAUCGUCGACGUGAUUAGCUUCGUUAGCUAGCUAAGUUACUGUACGAACAGUACGAACAGCAGAAGUAUGUGAAGCUGGACUGCAUUUAAGAGAGGUUUAACUUUAUGUAAUUUCACAUCAAAGGUUGUUUUUUUUUUCUUACUCCUUUAAAAUAACUAAGAAUUUGAUUAAAAUCUGAUAAAUUCUGUUUAUUGUGUUGUUGCCUCAUUUCUGUAUUUGCCUUUAUCACAUAAUUUUCUGUAGAAGGGGAUGUAUUGAUAAAAUAAAAAUUAUUCAUAUUUACAUUUUGCUUGCAUCAUAAAAAAACAUGUUUUCGGAUCAGACAUUUGUUGUGAAGCAAGAAAGGGCGUCAACUUAAAUAAUUUUUUCUUCUUUUUUCAGUCAUUGAGAAAUUUUGCUUGCCACCUAAUGCAAAAGUUACAUACAAGGAUGCAACAGGGACAGAAGUCGAUGCAGAAAUAUUCAGCGACCUCAUUGGACAAGGCAAUGUGGUGCUGACUGUUUUCUCAAAUGAUGAAUUUUCAGACUCUUUGUCUUCCAUAUCUGAGAAGUCUGACAAAAGCAACAGUUCAAGUGCAUCCACUGUAAUCUUUCAUGAGGUCCCUAACAAGAGACAAAGAAAAGAGGACACAUCUGCACUGUCUGCAAAACAGGCAACUCCCUACUUAAGCUAUCGGAGAACAGUAUGCUGCUUGCAUAGUGAUACUGUUCCCUCAAAGAUCCAUAUUCCAAGAAAGGCUACGAACACUUUUAUGAUGCUGCAAGCAACAUAGGACACAUUGCUUGGCAUAUGAAAACAGUCCACAGGAAGAUGAGACGAGGAUCUUUGCCACUAGACAGCCCUCAUGAUGUUUCUCCAGGAGGCCCAAAAUGCCAAAAAGCUACUAAUUUUGAAGGGCAACUUGAUGGGAGUUCUUGCAGAGAGGCCAUUUCUUUGCUCAGCCAAACCACAGAGAAGUCCCUAAUAUUCCAAAAGAUGAGAGAGACCUUUCAGCAUCGCCAAGAGCUUAUUAAAGAUCCAGGCUCUAGUGUUGAUAUCCUCUCCACAUUCCCAUGAUUCAUAGAUACAAAAGGCCUGGUUGGUCAAGACUUCACUCUCCUGUUUGACACCGAGACAUCCUCCAGGCUGCUUCAGAAGAGGGACACACUCUUCAGGCCAAAUGUCAUUAAAGACACCAAGCAACUUACUUCAACAGCAGAGAUGAGUCAGUUGUUGCUCUCAGCAGAAUGUCCUGAAGGAAGUGACCUUCAUGA